UACGGAGGAUGCAAGCGUUAUCCGGAAUUAUUGGGCGUAAAGCGUCCGCAGGUGGUUCAUCAAGUCUGCUGUCAAAGCGCGAGGCUUAACUUCGUAAAGGCAGUGGAAACUGAUAGACUGGAGUGCGGUAGGGGCAGAGGGAAUUCCCAGUGUAGCGGUGAAAUGCGUAGAUAUUGGGAAGAACACCUGAGGCGAAGGCGGCUCACUGGCCCGAUACUGACGCUGAGGUGCGAAAGCGUGGGGAGCAAACAGG
rnacentral:rRNA from 1 species